rnacentral:lncRNA from 1 species
CAGCAUCGAGGAAUGGCUCCGGGAUUGUUCGUCAAGGAGAAAAGAAAGAGAGGGGGCUUGGGUUAGAGUGAUGUCAGAGUGCCUUUGCACACCAUGUCAACAGUGUAUUAUUGGAGGGGGAGAUGUGAUUCUCACUGACUGCGCCAGCUUCAUCAGAACAAUGCCGUGGUCCUAGCUCCGCGUGUUUCACAGAGCCCAGCACAGAUAGAUACGUGCCAUUUUUUUAUAGCCCAGUUUUGGGUUUACUGCAUUAUUGCAUAGGGUUGUGGGAGUUGAAACAAACUGCUAGUGAUUGUGGUACAAUUGGCAACCACUCCCAGGAAAGCUCCAGUUUGUGGGACAAUACAUAAUAUGUAUCUUUUGUGCACUAACUAACUAACUAUAUAUAAGCAAUCAAUGGGUGUUGCACACGUAUGGUUAUCCAAUCAAACACAAUUUAGUCCUAUUCUGCAGAAAAUGUCAUCCCGGUCGGAAAGGAACCAAGCAACAAAGUGUUUGCAAACUAUCCAAACAGUAGGAAUUAAUUUCAGUGGGAUAUGAGGGUUUAAGUUUCGCACGUAAAGCACUGAACAACCUCUGCCCACUACACUGAAAUAAUACAUGACUGCCCUUUCCCUCUAUUAAUUUUUUGCUUUGCCUUGUUCUUUGUUUUGAUUUUUUCGUGUACAGUGGAGUAUGUCCAAGCUUGUACUUCAACACACUGUUGGGAUGGACAGUAUCUACCUGGCAGCAUGUACAAAGGUUGUGCAAGUUUGCCCUACAUAAUUCUAACACUCAGAAGAAAUGAACAAACAUGAACACACACACACACAC